GUUGUACUCCCUCCGUCCCAAAAUUCUUGUCCUAGGUUUAUCUAAAAACGAAUGUAUCUAAAUAGUAAAAUGUGACUAGAUACAUUUAUAUUUAGACAAAUCUAAGACAAUAAUUUUGGGACGGAGGGAAUACUAA
rfam:Hordeum vulgare subsp. vulgare, WGS project CAJW01000000 data, contig: morex_contig_53761